rnacentral:lncRNA from 1 species
CAAAAUAUCCUGAUUGAACACAUUGACUCUAAUCAAACUUACCUAUGAAAAGAGAACCAUCAUACAAUUUGGGCUUGAGAUUCCAUCAUUUAUACCUUUGCUGAUGUUAAUUCCUUACAUGAAAAUUAGAGAAAUCCAUAUACCAGAAUCACCACGUUCCUAGAAUUGAACCAGAAAUAUAAUCAUAAUAGACAUAUUUAUC